CUUCACCGACCCCAGCCACAACGGCCGGUCCGCGUCACGGUCCUGCCCGUAGGUCGCCAGCAGCGCCUGCGCCUC
rnacentral:antisense_RNA from 1 species